GACGAACGCUGGCGGCGUGCUUAACACAUGCAAGUCGAACGGAAAGGCCCUGCUUUUGUGGGGUGCUCGAGUGGCGAACGGGUGAGUAACACGUGAGUAACCUGCCCUUGACUUUGGGAUAACUUCAGGAAACUGGGGCUAAUACCGGAUAGGAGCUCCUGCUGCAUGGUGGGGGUUGGAAAGUUUCGGCGGUUGGGGAUGGACUCGCGGCUUAUCAGCUUGUUGGUGGGGUAGUGGCUUACCAAGGCUUUGACGGGUAGCCGGCCUGAGAGGGUGACCGGCCACAUUGGGACUGAGAUACGACCCAGACUCCUACGGGAGGCAGCAGUGGGGAAUAUUGCACAAUGGGCGGAAGCCUGAUGCGGCAACGCCGCGUGCGGGAUGACGGCCUUCGGGUUGUAAACCGCUUUCGCCUGUGACGAAGCGUGAGUGACGGUAAUGGGUAAAGAAGCACCGGCUAACUACGUG
rnacentral:rRNA from 1 species